rnacentral:rRNA from 1 species
UGCGGUGUAAAAUGAGCGUGCGUCCUAUUAGCUAGUUGGAGAGGUAAUGGCUCACCAAGGCUACGAUGGGUAGGGGUUCUUAGUGGAAGGUCCCCCACACUGGCACUGAGAUACGGGCCAGACUCCUACGGGAGGCAGCAGUAGGGAAUAUUGGUCAAUGGGCGCAAGCCUGAACCAGCCAUGCCGCGUGCAGGAUGAAGGCUCUAUGAGUUGUAAACUGCUUUUGUACAGGAGCAAAAAAAUCCCUGCGGGGGUUCUUGAGAGUACUGUAAGAAUAAGCACCGGCUAAUUCCGUGCCAGCAGCCGCGGUAAUACGGGAGGUGCAAGCGUUAUCCGGUUUUAUUGGGUUUAAAGGGUGCGUAGGCGGCUUAUUAAGUCAGUUGUGAAAUCCUAGUGCUUAACGCUAGAACUGCGAUUGAUACUAUUAGGCUUGAGUUAAGAAGAGGUA